rnacentral:lncRNA from 1 species
GCAGAGGAGGUAAGGAAGGAGUGUUGGGGAGGACGCAAGAAGAAAAGUGGACGUAGAAGUUGCUCAGAUAUUUUCUAUUCCCAAUUCAAGACCAGCUUGCAUGCUAGAAACACAUUGGAAUGACUUCUUCAAAAUUCUGCCAGUGAAGACUUAUCAUAUGUGGGUGCCGUUGCUGUAA